AACGAACGCUGGCGGCAGGCCUAACACAUGCAAGUCGAACGUGAAGCCACCUUCGGGUGGUGGAAAGUGGCAGACGGGUGAGUAACGCGUGGGAAUCUACCCAAUGGUACGGAAUAACUCAGGGAAACUUGAGCUAAUACCGUAUGUGCCCGAAAGGGGAAAGAUUUAUCGCCAUUGGAUGAGCCCGCGUCGGAUUAGCUAGUUGGUGGGGUAACGGCCCACCAAGGCGACGAUCCGUAGCUGGUCUGAGAGGAUGAUCAGCCACACUGGGACUGGGACAGGGCCCAGACUCGUACGGGAGGCAGCAGUGGGGAAUAUUGGACAAUGGGCGCAAGCCUGAUCCAGUCAUGCCGCGUGAGUGAUGAAGGCCCUAGGGUUGUAAAGCUCUUUCGACGGGGACGAUAAUGACGGUACCCGUAGAAGAAGCCCCGGCUAACUUCGUGCCAGCCGCCGCAGUAACAC
rnacentral:rRNA from 1 species